rnacentral:rRNA from 1 species
UACAGAGGGUGCAAGCGUUAAUCGGAAUUACUGGGCGUAAAGGGUAUGUAAGUUGUUAAAUAAGUCAGUUGUGAAAUACCUAUCUUAAAAUAGGAAAUGCAUCUGAAACUAUUUAACUAGAGUUUUGUAGGGGAUAGUAGAAUUUCCAGUGUAGCAGUGAAAUGCGUAGAUAUUGGAAGGAAUACCAGUGGCGAAGGCGACUAUCUGGACGAAUACUGACACCCAAAUACGAAAGCUUGGGGAGCAAACAGG